rnacentral:rRNA from 1 species
GCCAAAGCUAGCCCAAUCAUCUACAAACGCAACUAACACUAGAAAGUAAAAUAAAACAUUUAGUUACUCCAUAAAAGUAUAGGAGAUAGAAAUUUAACUUGGCGCUAUAGAGAAAGUACCGCAAGGGAAAGAUGAAAGAAAAAACUAAAAGCACCAUACAGCAAAGAUUGCCCCUUGUACCUUUUGCAUAAUGAGUUAGCUAGCAAUAGCCUAACAAAGAGAACUUCAGCUAGGCCCCCCGAAACCAGACGAGCUACCCAUGAACAACCUAUUACAGGAUGAACUCGUCUAUGUUGCAAAAUAGUGAGAAGAUUUGUGGGUAGAGGUGAAAAGCCUAACGAGCCUGGUGAUAGCUGGUUGCCCAGAACAGAAUCUUAGUUCAACUUUAAACUUACCUCAAAACCCUAAAAUUCCAAUGUAAGUUUAAAUUAUAGUCUAAAAAGGUACAGCUUUUUAGAACUAGGAUACAGCCUUAAUUAGAGAGUAAGCACAAACAUAAACCAUAGUUGGCCUAAAAGCAGCCACCAAUUAAGAAAGCGUUCAAGCUCGACAAUCAAAACAUCUCAAUGUCAAAAAACGUAACCAACUCCUAACCUAAAACUGGGCUAAUCUAUUUAAUAAUAGAAGCAAUAAUGCUAAUAUGAGUAACAAGAAGCAUUUCUCCCGUGCAUAAGCUUAUAUCAGAACGGAUAACCACUGAUAGUUAACAACAAGAUAAAUACAACCUAACUACAAGCAAAAUAUCAAACUAAUUGUUAACCCAACACAGGCAUGCAAUCCAGGGAAAGAUUAAAAGAAGUAAAAGGAACUCGGCAAACACAAGCCCCGCCUGUUUACCAAAAACAUCACCUCUAGCAUUUCCAGUAUUAGAGGCACUGCCUGCCCAGUGACAUUAGUUAAACGGCCGCGGUAUCCUGACCGUGCAAAGGUAGCAUAAUCAUUUGUUCCUUAAAUAGGGACUUGUAUGAAUGGCCACACGAGGGCUUUACUGUCUCUUACUUCUGAUCCGUGAAAUUGACCUUCCCGUGAAGAGGCGGGAAUAUGACAAUAAGACGAGAAGACCCUAUGGAGCUUUAAUUAACCGACCCAAAGAGAUCUUGAUAACCAACCAACAGGGAUAACAAACCUCUACCAUGGGUCGACAAUUUAGGUUGGGGUGACCUCGGAGAAUAAAACAACCUCCGAGUGAUUUAAAUCUAGACUGACCAGUCGAAAAUACUACAUCACUUAUUGAUCCAAAAANCUUGAUCAACGGAAUAAGUUACCCUAGGGAUAACAGCGCAAUCCUAUUUUAGAGUCCAUAUCNACAAUAGGGUUUACGACCUCGAUGUUGGAUCAGGACAUCCCGAUGGUGCAGCNGCUAUNAAAGGUUCGUUUGUUCAACGAUUAAAGUCCUACGUGAUCUGAGUUCAGACCGGAGUAAUCCAGGUCGGUUUCUAUCUAUUAAAUAAUUUCUCCCAGUACGAAAGGACAAGAGAAAUAAGGCCCACUUUACCAAAGCGCCUUUAACCAAAUAGAUGAUAUAAUCUCAAUCUAGACAGUUUAUCUAAGCACAUCACCCGAGAGCUCGGGUU